rnacentral:rRNA from 1 species
UGGGGAAUUUUGGACAAUGGGCGAAAGCCUGAUCCAGCAAUGCCGCGUGUGUGAAGAAGGCCUUCGGGUUGUAAAGCACUUUUGUCCGGAAAGAAAUCCUUGGCUCUAAUACAGUCGGGGGAUGACGGUACCGGAAGAAUAAGCACCGGCUAACUACGUGCCAGCAGCCGCGGUAAUACGUAGGGUGCAAGCGUUAAUCGGAAUUACUGGGCGUAAAGCGUGCGCAGGCGGUUUGCUAAGACCGAUGUGAAAUCCCCGGGCUCAACCUGGGAACUGCAUUGGUGACUGGCAGGCUAGAGUAUGGCAGAGGGGGGUAGAAUUCCACGUGUAGCAGUGAAAUGCGUAGAGAUGUGGAGGAAUACCGAUGGCGAAGGCAGCCCCCUGGGCCAAUACUGACGCUCAUGCACGAAAGCGUGGGGACGCAAACAGGAUUAGAUACCCUGGUAGUCCACGCCCUAAACGAUGUCAACUAGUUGUUGGGGAUUCAUUUCCUUAGUAACGUAGCUAACGCGUGAAGUUGACCGCCUGGGGGAGUACGGUCGCAAGAUUAAAACUCAAAGGAAUUGACGGGGUCAUAGCUGUUUCCU